UGAAAAUCUAUCUGUGCAAUGUGAACUGGCUUACAGAUCACAUAUACAAUUCUGAAGAAACCCGUCUGGUGAACCAAGGUCUUCAGUGGACCCCUGAAUCACACAGAAUUGCUGACUGCAGUAGAUUUCUGGAGCCCUGAUCCUAUCCUGGGAACCCCAAGUGCAGGGACAUGUCCCCUUGUUUCUCCCAACAUCUCCAUCCUUCCUGAUACCCUACAGGAGCAAGCAAACCUACCAAACUAAGUUUGCCAAAAGUCCACUCCCACAAAACUUGGAGCUGAAUCAGAAUAAUUAGUGCAGAAGUAACAUCGUGAGCAGGAUGACCCUGGAUGGACAGGACAUGCCCACUGGACAGACCAGCAGCUGUGGCCUGGGUCUCCAGGUGAGACAGGUGGAGCACCCUCUUUCUUCGUGAUUCCAGAUUUUAUAGUAUCUUAAGGAGUCUAUAAAAGACAUCAACAGGGUAACCUCUUUGCAAGGCUAGUUAUCUCAGUGUUCACCCUCUGAAUUAACCCAGCCUUUCAGGGGUCUAAAAACAGUCCUGUCCCUGACUCAGCCAUUCAGAACUUAAAGGUGCAUCCUAUAGCAAGCAUCAGCCACUGGGUUCAGUUGACUGUGGUCCUGGCCGCUCGUCCUACCAUAACCUCUCAGCAUGACAAGGAAGAAUCAAAGCUGUUCCUAUUUAGUGCUAAAUAAAGCACAGAUGCCUGUCUAACUUCCAUAAACAAAAAUAAAAAUUCAAAGAAUACAGCUUGGCCCAACAUUCCAGGCAAAUGAGACAG